CAACUUUCAGCAACGGAUCUCUUGGCUCUCGCAUCGAUGAAGAACGCAGCGAAAUGCGAUAAGUAAUGUGAAUUGCAGAAUUCAGUGAAUCAUCGAAUCUUUGAACGCACCUUGCGCUCCUUGGUAUUCCGAGGAGCAUGCCUGUUUGAGUGUCACUA
rnacentral:rRNA from 1 species